rnacentral:rRNA from 1 species
CACGUAGGGUGCGAGCGUUGUCCGGAAUUAUUGGGCGUAAAGAGCUCGUAGGCGGUGUGUCGCGUCGGCCGUGAAAACCUGCAGCUUAACUGUGGGCUUGCGGUCGAUACGGGCAUCACUGGAGUUCGGCAGGGGAGACUGGAAUUCCUGGUGUAGCGGUGAAAUGCGCAGAUAUCAGGAGGAACACCGGUGGCGAAGGCGGGUCUCUGGGCCGAUACUGACGCUGGAG